rnacentral:rRNA from 1 species
UACGUAGGGGGCAAGCGUUGUCCGGAUUUAUUGGGCGUAAAGGGCGCGUAGGCGGUUUCUUAAGUUUGAAGUGACAGUGGGUGGCUUAACUACCCAAGGCCUUUUGAAAACUGGGGAACUUGAGGACCAGAGAGGGACAUAGAAUUCCGGGUGGAGUGGUGAAAUGCGUAGAGAUCCGGAGGAACACCAGUGGCGAAGGCGACACGCUGGGCCGUACCUGACACUGAUGCGCGACAGCAUGGGGAGCAACAGG